rnacentral:rRNA from 1 species
UACGGGGGGGGGCAAGCGUUGUUCGGAAUUACUGGGCGUAAAGGGCGCGUAGGCGGUCAGAUAAGUCAGCUGUGAAAACCUCGGGCUUAACCUGGGAACUGCAUUUGUGACUGCAUGGCUAGAGUACGGUAGAGGGGGAUGGAAUUCCGCGUGUAGCAGUGAAAUGCGUAGAUAUGCGGAGGAACACCGAUGGCGAAGGCAAUCCCCUGGACCUGUACUGACGGCUCAUGCACGAAAGCGUGGGGAGCAAACAGGG